rnacentral:rRNA from 1 species
AUGACGUCAAGUCAUCAUGGCCCUUACGGCCUGGGCUACACACGUGCUACAAUGGUCGGUACAAAGGGUUGCCAAGCCGCGAGGUGGAAGCUAAUCCCAUAAAACCGAUCGUAGUCCGGAUCGCAGUCUGCAACUCGACUGCGUGAAGUCGGAAUCGCUAGUAAUCGUGAAUCAGAAUGUCACGGUGAAUACGUUCCCGGGCCUU